GUCAAGGUGGUGGAGUGGUUAACACGUUCGCCUGCUAUUACCUCUGGUAAGUUGCUCAGCGGAUGCCUUCGGGCGCGCAGGUUCGAAUCCUGUCCUUGACG
rnacentral:tRNA from 1 species